AGUUAAAAAACAAAACCCAAAAAGAGCAACCUGACUGUGAUAGUGUAAACUAAGUAUGGAAGUGAUAAGGAGACCUAACAAAAGGGAAAGAACUGUUAACCAGGGAAGACUUCCUGGAAGAGUUCCCCAGUUUCUCUCUCCAGGAAAAACCACUGACACUUGUCUUGUGUAUCUUUCCAGGGAUCAAGAUCCUGAAGCUUGGCACUUUUGCUCUUUCCUUUCUACCCAACUCUUGUCACUGCCAGUGGAGAUACGCGCCUUCCCUUCCCUGGGGCUAUUGCCAUAUAUAACCCCCAGAUCUCCACGCCCUGCUUCCCCAAGUCUUUGGGGAUUCUGAGGUGUGUAAUCGUGGACGGGAGGCGUUAGCUCGGAGGAGGCAUUUUGGGCUGGGUGAGAUCGGGCCAGCCAUUUGGUCCUCAGGUUGCAAGGCACCGCAGCAGGGCCGCGGCCUGAGUUGCCGCUAGGGUUUUGUGGAGAAUCCCCCGGGUCGCCAGACUGGAGCGGAGAGCACGGCGCCGCUGGCCUGGGGAGCCGGGUAACCAGCGGCCGA